UGAACGCUAGCGGCAGGCUUAACACAUGCAAGUCGAGGGGCAGCAUGAGACGGAGAUUCGUCGAAGUCUUGAUGGCGACCGGCGCAAGGGUGCGUAACGCGUGAGCAACUUGCCCGUUUCUGGGGAAUAACCGGUGGAAACGCCGACUAAUACCCGAUGGCAUGUAUUUCCGGCAUCGGAGAUACAUUAAAGAUUUAUCGGUAACGGAUGAGGAUGCGUACGAUUAGCUGGUUGGCGGGGUAACGGCCCACCAAGGCGACGAUCGUUAGGGGUUCUGAGAGGAAGGUCCCCCACACUGGAACUGAGACACGGUCCAGACUCCUACGGGAGGCAGCAGUGAGGAAUAUUGGUCAAUGGUCGGAAGACUGAACCAGCCAUGCCGCGUGCAGGAAGAAUGUCUUAUGGAUUGUAAACUGCUUUUGUAUGGGGCUAAUAACAACUUUGCGAAGUUAGAUGCAGGUACCAUACGAAUAAGGAUCGGCUAACUACGUG
rnacentral:rRNA from 1 species